GCCCUUAGAGUUUGAUCAUGGCUCAGGACGAAUGCUGGCGGCGUGCUUAACACAUGCAAGUCGAACGAAGCAGCCGGGUUAGCUUGCUAACCUGGUUGACUUANUGGCGGACGGGUGAGUAACACGUGGGUAACCUACCUGAAAGACCGGGAUAACAGCUCGAAAGGGCUGCUAAUACCGGAUAAAGUAAGAGAUUGCUAUGAUUUCUUACCAAAGGCGUUAUGUANUGCUUUCAGAUGGGCCCGCGGCUCAUUAGUUAGUUGGUGGGGUAAAGGCCUACCAAGGCGAUGAUGGGUAGCCGGUCUGAGAGGAUGGUCGGCCACACUGGGACUGAGAACGGCCCAGACUCCUACGGGAGGCAGCAGUGGGGAAUAUUGCGCAAUGGGGGCAACCCCGACGCAGCGACGCCGCGUGAGUGAAGAAGGCCUUCGGGUUGUAAAGCUCUGUCUGGGGGGAAGAAGGAGACGGUACCCCCGGA
rnacentral:rRNA from 1 species